UACAAAAGCACGGGAAGGAAAGCUCAUAAAUUGGAGACAUGCUCUCUUUUUUCCAUUCGAAGUUUAUAUGAUUCUUCUUCAAUGGUAGGAAACGUGUGUACCCGCAAUUUCUCGCGAUUCGAAGGUGAUGCAGUGAUUUGUUGGUGGUUUCAUUGGUCUCGUUGCUGGGUUCUUUUUCCUUCAGUGGUACUUUUUUCCUCAAUGGGUGCCUGAGGACUUUAAAGCAUUUCGGUGACGAUUCAAUUUCCACCGUUGAGGGAUUAUUCUGCUAACUGUGGAAUUGGAUCCGGUGGAGUUCGACGUGGUUGGGAUGCGAAAGAGAUAGAGGAUUCUCUGCUUCUUCGUUUGGAUAUGCCUGGACUUGCGAUUGCAAAUUUGUGUGAAAGCAUAUAUAUGUAAGUCAUGCUCAGAAGUACUUUCUCUGCCGAAGUAAUCUCAAUCGCUGUCGCCGUAGAUCCAGUCUUUUUGAUAUCACCACCGACAGGGUUUGUAUGGUGCAACCAAAAACAGAAAUGGAUCUCCAAUUUCAGUCAACAAAUAUGAGCAAUACUUAAGUGCAGUUGCAUUUGCUGUUACUACUUUUGGAACGGUUGCUUUGAUGAGUGGAUUCUUCCUUAAACCUGUUGCUACACUUGAUGAUUAUCUUGCUAACGUUGUGCCUCUAUUUGGUGGUUUCUUAUCUAUUCUUGGAGUUUCUGAGGUAAGUUAUAUGUUCAGUUUUCCACCAAACAUUAAAUUUUUUUCUAGACUAUAAAGCAUUAAAACAGCUGAGGUUUGUUAAGUUUAAAAUGUUUUGUGUUUGUAUUAUUUUCAUUGUUCUGAUAGCCACGUGGGUAAUAGCCGCUCGAUACGGUGUUAAACUCAGCCCUUUGUUCCUGGUGCCAUCUAAUGCACUUUACUUUUCUGAUACAUACUUCUAUAGUAAAAAAGAAUGGGAAAUGAAACUACACUAGCCAUUAUCUCAUUCAAUCUUCUGCUAUAACAACAACAACCCUGUACAAUUUUGUAAAUCAAAAUUUAAAUUGUUAGGGUUUAUGAAAUGCUCCAAGAUCUUUUUUCCACAAUAUAUGAGCCUAAAUUUUGAAACGGUUUAGGGUGCCUGAGGACUUUAAAGAAUUCAUAAUUCGAUGAUAUCUUUUAUGAGUUGAAUGGAAUUCAUUACUGUGAUUAUUUGUCUAUGUGAGUUCAAAUCAAUUUUCUUAAUUUGAAAAGGGGAUGAUAUUAUCCUAAAACCAAUGAUAGGAAAUGAUGAAUAUUAUUUUUGCUCUUUAAUAUUUUGUAAAUGUUGGGAUGCCUCGGUGAUUUUAUGAUCUUGAGUGCAAUUCUAUACUUUGAAUUGUCACUCAUAUAUGAUAUAUGAGCCUAAACUUUGAAACUAUUAUGAUGCCUCGAUGACCCGAAAGGAAUUGACGGAUAUUAUUUGUCCCAUAUGUUGGCAAGUGUUGGGAUGCCUCAAUGAUUUUAUGAUCUUGAGUGCAAUUCUAUACUAUGAAUUGUCACUCAUAUAUGAUAUAUAAGCUUAAAUUUUGAAACUAUUAUGAUGCCUCGAUGACCCGAAAGGAAUUGACGGAUAUUAUUUGUCCCAUUUUUGCAAGUGUUGGGAUGCCUCAAUGUUUUUAUGAUCUUGAGUGCAAUUCUAUACUAUUAAUUGUCACCCAUAUAUGAUAUAUGAGCCUAAAUUUUGAAACUAUUAUGAUGCCUCGAUGACACGAAAGGAAUUGACAGAUAUUAUUUGUCCCAUAUGUUGCCAGUGUUGGGAUACCUCAAUGAUUUUUUGAUCUAGAGUGCAAUUCUAUACUAUGAAUUGUCACUCAUAUAUGAUAUAUGAGUCUAAAUUUUAAAACUAUUAUGAUGCCUCGAUGACCCGAAAGAAAUUGACGGAUAUUAUUUGUCCCAUAUAUUGUCAGUGUUGGGAUGCCUCAAUGAUUUUAUGAUCUUGAGUGCAAUUCUAUACUAUGAAUUGUCACUCAUAUAUGAUAUAUGAGCCUAAAUUUUGAAACUAUUAUGAUGCCUCGAUGACCCGAAAGGAAUUGACGGAUAUUAUUUGUCCUGUCAGUGUUGGGAUGACUCAAUGAUUUUAUGAUCUUGAGUGCAAUUCUAUACUAUGAAUUGUCACUCAUAUAUAUGAUAUAUGAACUUAAAUUUUGAAACUAUUAUGAUGCCUCGAUGACCCAAAAGGAAUUGACGGAUAUUAUUUGUCCCAUAUGUUGCUAGUGUUGGGAUGACUCAAUGAUUUUAUGAUCUAGAGUGCAAUUCUAUACUAUGAAUUGUCACUCAUAUAUGAUAUAUGAGCCUAAAUUUUGAAACUAUUAUGAUGCCUCGAUGACCCGAAAGAAAUUGACGGAUAUUAUUUGUCCCAUAUGUUGCUAGUGUUGGGAUGCCUUAAUGAUUUUAUGAUCUUGAGUGCAAUUCUAUACUAUGAAUUGUCACUCAUAAAAGAUAUACGAGUCUAAAUUUUGAAACUAUUAUGAUGCCUCGAUGACACGAAAGGAAUUGACGGAUAUUAUUUGUCCCAUAUGUUGGCAAGUGUUGGGAUGCCUCAAUGAUUUUAUGAUCUUGAGUGCAAUUCUAUACUAUGAAUUGUCACUCAUAAUAUAUAUCAGCCUAAAUUUUGAAACUAUUAUGAUGCCUCGAUGACACGAAAGGAAUUGACGGAUAUUAUUUGUCCCAUAUGUCGGCAAGUGUUGGGAUGCCUCAAUGAUUUUAUGAUCUAGAGUGCAAUUAUAUACUAUGAAUUGUCACUCAUAUAUGAUAUAUGAGCCUAAAUUUUGAAACUAUUAUGAUGCCUCGAUGACCCGUAAGGAAUUGACGGAUAUUAUUUGUCCCAUAUGUUGCCAGUGUUGGGAUGCCUCAAUGAUUUUAUGAUCUUGAGUGCAAUUCUAUACUAUGAAUUGUCACUCAUAUAUGAUAUAUGAGCCUAAAUUUUGAAACUAUUAUGAUGCCUUGAUGAACCGAAAGGAAUUGACGGAUAUUAUUUGUCCCAUAUGUUGCCAGUGUUGGGAUGCCUCAAUGAUUUUAUGAAAUUUUGAAACUAUUAUGAUGCCUCGAUGACCUGAAAGGAAUUGACGGAUAUUAUUUGUUUCAUAUGUUGCUAGUGUGUUGUGAUGCCUCAGUGAUUUUAUGAUCUUGAGUGCAAUUCUAUAAUAUGAAUUGUGACUCAUAUAUGAUAUAUGAGCCUAAAUUUUAAACUAUCAUGAUGCCUCGAUGACCCGAAAGGAAUUGACGGAUAUUAUUUGUACCAUAUGUUGCAAGUGUUGGGAUGCCUCGGUGAUUUUAUGAUAUUGAUUGCAAUUCUAUAAUAUGAAUUGUCACUCAUAUAUGAUAUAUGAGCUUAAAUUUUGAAACUAUUAUGAUGUCUCGAUGACCUGAAAGGAAUUGACGGAUAUUAUUUGCCCCGUAUGUUGCAAGUGUUGGGAUGCCUCAGUGAUUUUAUGAUCUUGAGUGCAAUUCUAUAAUAUGAAUUGUGACUCAUAUAUGAUAUAUGAGCCUAGAUUUUGAAACUAUUAUGAUGCCUCGAUGACUCGAAAGGAAUUGAUGGAUGUUAUUUGUCCGAUAUGUUGCAAGUGUUGGGAUGCCUCAAUGAUUUUAUGAUCUUGAGUGCAAUUCUAUACCAUGAAUCGUCACUCAUAUAUGAUAUAUGAGCCUAAAUUUUGAAACUAUUAUGAUGCCUCGAUGACCCGAAAGAAAUUGACGGAUAUUAUUUGUCCCAUAUGUUGCAACUGUUGGGAUGCCUCAAUGAUUUUAUGAUCUAGAGUGCAAUUCUAUACUAUGAAUUGUCACUCAUAUAUGAUAUAUGAGCCUAAAUUUUGAAACGAUUAUGAUGCCUCGAUGACCCGAAAGGAAUUGACGGAUUUUAUUUGUCCCAUAUGUUGCAAGUGUUGGGAUGCCUCAAUGAUUUUAUGAUCUAGAGUGCAAUUCUAUACUAUGAAUUGUCACUCAUAUAUGAUAUAUGAGCCUAAAUUUUGAAACUAUUAUGAUGCCUCGAUGACCCGAAAGGAAUUGACGGAUUUUAUUUGUCCCAUAUGUUGCAAGUGUUGGGAUGGCUCAAUGAUUUUAUGAUCUAGAGUGCAAUUCUAUACUAUGAAUUGUCACUCAUAUAUGAUAUAUGAGCCUAAAUUUUGAAACUAUUAUGAUGCCUCGAUGACCUGAAAGGAAUUGACGGAUAUUAUUUGUCCCAUAUGUUGCCAGUGUUGGGAUGCCUCAAUGAUUUUAUGAUCUAGAGUGCAAUUCUAUACUAUGAAUUGUCACUCAUAUAUGAUAUAUGAGCCUAAAUUUUGAAACUAUUAUGAUGCCUCGAUGACCCGAAAGGAAUUGACGUAUUUUAUUUGUCCCAUAUGUUGCAAGUGUUGGGAUGCCUCAAUGAUUUUAUGAUCUAGAGUGCAAUUCUCUACUAUGAAUUGUCACUCAUAUAUGAUAUAUGAGCCUAAAUUUUGAAACUAUUAUGAUGCCUCGAUGACCCGAAAGGAAUUGACGGAUAUUAUUUGUCCCAUAUGUUGCAAGUGUUGGGAUGGCUCAAUGAUUUUAUGAUCUAGAGUGCAAUUCUAUACUAUGAAUUGUCACUCAUAUAUGAUAUAUGAGCCUAAAUUUUGAAACUAUUAUGAUGCCUCAAUGACCCGAAAGGAAUUGACGGAUAUUAUUUGUCCCAUAUGUUGCUAGUGUUGGGAUGCCUCAAUGAUUUUAUGAUCUUGAGUGGAAUUCUAUACUAUGAAUUGUCACUCAUAUAUGAUAUAUGAGCCUAAAUUUUGAAACUAUUAUGAUGCCUCGAUGAUCCGAAAGGAAUUGACGGAUAUUAUUUGUCCCAUAUGUUGCAAGUGUUCGGAUGCCUCAAUGAUUUUACGAUAUAGAGUGUAAUUCUAUACUAUGAAUUGUCACUCAUAUAUGAUAUAUGAGCCUAAAUUUUGAAACUAUUAUGAUGCCUCGAUGACCCGAAAGGAAUUGACAGAUAUUAUUUGUCUCAUAUGUUGCAAGUGUUUUGAUGCGGAUUACCCUAACGCAGACAUUAUGCCUCAAUGCCUUAAAUGUAAUAUUGAUAUGAAUUUUUAUUCAUUCAUAAUGCCUCGAUAACCCAAAGGAAUUAAUGGAUAUGGUUAAAAACUGUUGCAAGUGUUUGUAAACCUUGAUGACCCUAACAGAAAUAUCACGAAAUGCAAAAAAAAAGUGUUUCACUCUUAUUAUUCUCUGAAACGGUUUCUAAUUCCCUCAUUAAACCCAUUGGUUAUUGAAAUUAAACCCAUUAAUUAUUGAAAAUCUUCCCAAUACACCUACUAUCAAUAAUUAGGGAAAUUUUCCAAUACACCCAUAAAGAACCUUACCAAUGCAAUUUUCAUAUUCAUAGCACUCAACUCCCUCUCUCAAAGAUGAUUUUAUGUGUGAUGUGCUACUGUUUUCAAUUUUAGAGUUGUUUUAAUGUGCUACUCUUAAUGAAUAUGAAUGUUAUUUGAAGUUUUUUUCUAUUAAAUUGUGUUGCUUCAUAUGCAUAUGUAUGAAUUUAUAUGGAAUAUAUAUGAAUUUUUAAAUUUGGUAGGAUCUUACGAUCCGUGUUAUGAUCCCCCAAUUCACGAUCGCGUGGGUCCUAUCCGAUCUUACUUAGGAUCUCGAGUUUGUCUACCUUGGCUCUUAUGACUAUGAAAGCAAUUCUAAAUUGUAAACUGCCACAAUGAGAUGGAAUAUAGGAUGAUGACCCUAAAGGAAUGAAACUGUAGAAAUUUAUAGUCGGAUGCUUAGAAGAAUCUAAAAGAUUCAUAAUGUAAAAGAUGGAUGAUAUCAUUUACGACUUGAAUAAAUUUCUUAAAUUUGAAUUGCCCCUGUGUGUUGAAAUCUUUUUUUCCUAAUCCGAUAAAGGGAUGAUAUAUCCCCAAGUCUGAUGGUAGGAAUGCAUGAAUUUUAUUUUUAUUCUUAAAUUUUAUAAGUGUCGGGCUGCCUGAUUGAUUUUAUAGAGAACCACAUUAUGCACACUUUAUUAUUCACAAUGUAAAAGCUUGAUGGUUACUUAAAUGCAAAAUGAGUGUGAAUUUUAUUCACAAUAUAGGAGAUGAUAUCUAUUAGGCUUUUGUGAUUCUGAAUGCAAUUCUAGACUAUGAAUUGUCAUCCAAAGAUGAAAUAUGAGCCUUAAUUUUGAAACUAUUGGGAUAGCUUGAUUACCCGAAAGGAAUUGACGGAUGUUAUUUGUUCCAUAAAUGUUGCAAGUGUUUGGAUGCCUCGAUGACCCUAAAGAAAACAUUAUGAACACUUAACUCAAAAUUAUGAUUGCAAUUCUAGACUAUGAAUUGUCAUCCAAAGACGAAAUAUGAGCCUUAACUUUGAAACUAUUGAGAUACCUCAAUGAAUCGAAAUGAAUUGACGGAUAUUAUUUGUUCCAUAAAUGUUAAGUGUUUGGAUGCCUCGAUGACCCUAUAGGAAAUAUUAUGAACACUUUACUCAUAGCAUAAAAAUCGAUGACCCUAAUACGAUACUGAUAUGAAUCUUUAUUCAUAAUAUAAGGGAUGGAUCCACUGUUCUUUUAUGACCCUGAAUGCAGUUAUAGACUGUGAAUUGCCACUAUGAUAUGGAAUUUAGGAUGCCUUGAUGAUCCUAAAUGAAUCAAUGGAUAUUAUAUGUUCCAUAAAUGUUGCAAGUGUUUGGAUGCCUCGAUGACCCUAAACGAAACACUAUGAACAAUUCAUUCAUACUGUAAAAGUUGUAUGAAGCCUUAAAUGUGAUAUGGUAUGAAUUUUUAUUCAUAAUAUAAAAGAUGGAUUCGUUGUGCAUUUAUGACUAUGAAAACAAUUCUAAAUUGUAAACUGCCACAAUGAGAUGGAAUAUAGGAUGCCUCGAUGACCCAAAUUGGAUAUUGUUUGUUCCAUAAAUUUUGAAGUGUUGGGAUGCCUCAUUUGACCCUAAAAGGAAGAUUAUGAACACUUUAAUCAUAAUUUAAAGUUUAACAACGUGUUACAUGUGACAUUGAUAUGAAUUUGUGUUCAUAUUAUAAACGUUUGUAUUCGUUGUACCUUGAAUUCAUGUUUCGACCGUGAAUUGUCAUUGAAUGCUAUAUGGUACGCCUCAAUGAUCCAAAAAGAUGUAUGAAUUUUGUAUGCUCCAUGCAUUUACUAUUGUGUUUUUUUUUUCCGUAAUAUAAAGGUUUGUACUCAUUUUGCUUUUAUGACCUUGAAUUCACUUUUAGAUUAUGAUUUGCCACUUUGCUAUAUGGGCUGCCUCAAUACUUCUCUGUUUUCAUUUUCGAACGUUAUGAUGUGUUUUAAAGAAGAUGAAACACACAUUGUUUGGUCCUUUCAUCUUCUUUAGAACACGCAAUAUAAAAAAUUUCUAUACUCUAUCUUGUUUUUCAGGUUUUAAUUCUUGAAUUUUUUCAGUGGAAUUAGUAGUACUGGAAUGAUUCAGCAAACUAUGAUUUUCUAUGAAGAAUCUUUUGGCACCGAUGACAACUUAUUCGUUAGCUAAGGUAAUGAGAUGGAAUAUAGAAUGACAACCCUAAAGGAAUGAAACUGUAGAAAUUUAUAGUCGGAUGCUUAGAAGAAUCUAAAAGAUUCAUAAUGCAAAAGAUGGAGGAUAUCAUUUACGACUUGAAUGAAAUUCUUAAAUUUGAAUUGCCCCUGUGAUGAAAUCUUUUUUUCCUAAUCUGAUAAAGGGAUGAUAUAUCCCCAAGUCUGAUGGUAGGAAUGCAUGAAUUUUUUUUUUUAUUCUUAAAUUUUACAAGUGUUGGGCUGCCUGACUGAUUUUAUAGAGAACCACAUUAUGCAUGUAAAAGCUUGAUGGUGACUUAAAUGCAAAAUGAGUGUGAAUUUUAUUCACAAUAUAAGAGAUGAUAUCUAUUAGGCUUCUGUGGUUCUGAAUGCAAUUCUAGUCUAUAAAUUGUCAUCCAAAGAUGAAAUAUGAGCCUUAAUUUUGAAACUAUUGAGAUAGCUCGAUGACCGAAAAGGAAUUGACGGAUGUUAUUUGUUCCAUAAAUGUUUCAAGUGUUUGGAUGCCUCGAUGACCCAAAAGGAAAUAUUUUGAACACUUUAUUCAUAGCGUAAAAUUCGAUGACCCUACUACGAUACUGAUAUGAAUAUUUAUUCAAAAUAUAAGGGAUGGAUCCACUCUGCUUUUAUGACCCCGAAUGCAAUUCCAAAUUGUAAAAUGACCUGAAAGGAAUAUGAAUCAUGGAUAUUUUUUGUUUCAUAAAUUUUGAAGUGUAUGAACACUUUAUUCAUAGCCAUAACCGCAUUCUCACAAGAUCAAUGGGCAGUUAUGGCUAGAAUGCGGUUCAUGAAAAAUGGUAAGCCAAGGUCUUCACAUCUCAAAUCUUCUAUCUGGCUGGGUCUUAGGCCUCUUCUGAAUGACAUUUUUCAACAUGCCACUUGGACUGUUGGUAAUGGAGAGUCCAUUUACUUUUGGACUGAUAGAUGGUUGGCUAUGCCUAUAGUGGAUAUUUGGCAGAUCCCUGUUCACCUUCACAAAGUCUUGACAGUGAAAGUUGCUGAUUUAGUGAUAGAGGACAGUGGCAAAUUCCUGAUUAUUUCCUGCAUAAGGAUGUCUCUUAAGUCCAGCAAAUAUAUGGUAUCACUCUGCCUAUUGACUUGCUGAUACUCUCAAUUGGAACAAUUUUAUUGAUGGGAAUUUGACCAAUAAAUUAGCUUUUGAUCAUUUGAAAGGGACUUUUCAGAGAUUUCCGUGGUGCACAACUAUUUGGAAUAGUAUACCCCCCUUCCAGAUCUUUUAUUCUUUGGAGAUUUGCUCACAAUAAGUUGCCCACUGAUGAUAAUUUGCGUAAAAGUGGGUGUUGCAUUGUCUCUAUCUGUUGUUUCUGUCACAAUCAAGCGGUAUCUUGUCAUCAUAUUUUCUUAUCUUGCCCUGUUACUAUGGUGUUGUGGGAUUGGCUUAGCUCUGGUACUGGUCAGCAGAUUGAUACGUGGUUGGCUCUAAUCACUAGCUGUCUGAGUACGAGUAGCUCUCUGUUGCGGAAAGUGAUGCUGUUUGCAGUCCUGCAUACCAUUUGGAUAAUUUGGAUUGAAAGAAACAACAUAACCUUUUAGGACAAACACACAAGCAUAGAUAGCAUGAAACACUGUGUUCUGACAGAUAUUCAUCUGAGUUUUUCUCUGAACUUGAUGAUGGGAACAUCCUCUAUGGCUAAGUUUAAAGUUACUCUAUUUUUCAACAUCCCUCUCAGGUCUAGCAGGCUCGUUUCUGCCACUGAGGUACGAUUGCUUCCUCCUGCUGCUGGAAGAAUAAAAGUGAAUAUUGAUGGUUCCUCGUUUGGGCCUGUGCCCAGUGGGGCAAUUGGUGGGGUUUUCCGAAAUGAUGAGUCACUUUUGGGUGGAUUUACCCAGAAUACAGGCCAUGCUUCAGCUCAAGAGGCUGAGCUUUGUGCAGCCAUGUUUGCGAUUGAGAAAGCUGCGGAACUAAAUAGGAAAUAGUUGUGGAUAGAGAGUGAUUCUCUGACGGUGGUUAGGUGUUUUGAUAGCAGAUCUGUGGUCCCUUGAAGAUUGAAGACAAGAUGGCAAAACUGCAUGGUUUUGGUUCGGAAGUUAGGUGGUAUUUGUACCCACAUUCACAGGGAAGGCAACCUGGUUGCAGACGCCUUAGCUCAAAAUGGGCAGAGUUUGGCAUUAUCUACUUCUCAAUGGUGGAGUGAACCUCCCUAUUUUCUUCUAUCUCUUUUGUAUCAUGAUAGUCUAGGUGUGCCUCAUUAUAGUACAAUCAGAUGAUGCAUUGACUUAGUAAUAGGGUUCUGGCCCCCUCCAGCUUGGUUUUUUGAUAUUUUGCUCUGCUUGAUAAAAAAAAAGAUUGUGAUUUGCCACUGUGCUAUAUGGAUUGCUUCAAUACUUCUCUGUUUUCGUCUUAGAAAGUUAUGAUGUGUUUUAAAGAAGAUGAAACACGCAGCCUUUUAUCUUUAAAACACGCAUCAUUCAGGAAACAUUACGAAUACUUCACUCAUUAUGUAAAAAUUGGAUGAUGCCUGAAAUGUAAUAUUAAUGUGAAUUUCUUUAUUCAUUAUAUAAGGGAUGGAUCCAUUGUGUGCUUUUAUGGAUAAAUCAUGGAUGUUAUUUGUUCCAUGAAUUUUUAAUUGUUUGGAUGUCUCAUUUGACCCUAAAAGGAAGUUAUGAACACUUUAAUCAUAAUUUAAAGUUUGAUAUUCAUAAUAUAAAGCUUCAUAUUAGUUAUGCUUUAAUGACCUUGAAUUCACUUUUAGACUGUGAAUUGCCACUGUGGAAUAUGAGAUGCCUCAAUGAUCCAAAAAGAUUAUGUAUAUUAUUUGCUCCAUGAAUUUACUGUUGUGCGUUUAUGAUCCUGAAUGAUGCUCUCUACUGUGAAUGUGAAUUACCACUCGAAGAUGGAAUAUGAGUUUAAAUUUUGUAACUAUUUGGAUGCCUUGUAACUCAGAAAGGAAUCAAUUAAAUUUAUUCCAGAAUUUGAAGUGCGCCUAUUUUUUCUGCAUUGUGACUGUUGCUUUUAGGUCUUUUGGUUGUUAUGCUGUAAUAUUGCUAUCUUUGGAUGACAAAAUUAUGCAUUACGUGUAGAAUUAAGGCAUGCUUUUGUUGGUAUCAGAGACUUAAGAUUUGUCUUUAUUUUUCUGUAGCAACAUGUUUUUGUUGGUAUGUAAUGUGUAAUUGAAAUAUUUCAAACUUUGAAACUGAUAAUACUAAUUUUCUCAUAUCUAAAAAGUGUAAUAAAAAUAAAAUCUUUUGAUAAGGCUGGAAAAUAUAGAAAAACUUGUUUUUGUGGGCUUUCUUUCUUUGUGCAUCUUUUUGGAGUGAGUCUUUAAAAUGUGGCUUGGGAUUUUGACCGUCCUCAGAGAGAUCUGAGCACCUUUGAUUGAGAGAAGAUUGUGUUGGAGUCAAAUUGGAAAAUCCUUAACACUAAAACAAGAAGAUUUAUGUAUGCAUUAAACCAGUAGCUUGAGAACCCUUUGAGCUGUUUGGGGAUAAAUUAAGUGUCGAAUCUGACAUAGGUGGUUCUAUUUUGUCAGAAAUUGUGAUGUAUAUCAGUAUGUCUGCAGGUCUUAGAUCAGCAGAAAGUCUGUCCUAUUGUUUACUUGCUGAGCUUGUUCUUUGCUGCGGAUGGACACCGGUUUCUGAUGACUUAAAUGUGAUAUGGAUGUGAAUUUGUAUUCACGAUGCAAGAGAUGAUAUCUAUAUUCUAUAGUGCUUUUACUACGCUUAAUCAAAUUCAACUUGAAUUGCCACUCGGAGAUGAAAUAUGAUCCUAAAUUUUGCGUCUCUCCAGAUGCCUUGGUGACCCGUAAUGAAUCAAUGGAUAUUACUUGUUACAUGAAUUUUGUAAGUGUUGGGAUGUCUUGAUGACCCUAAACAAAACAUUAAUCUAACUUCACUCAUAAUGUAAAAGCUAUAUACUGCCUUAAAUGUGUCGAAGCGAAAUUUUAUUCAUUAUGUAAGGGAUGGUACUCGUUUCACCAAGACUUUGAAUGCAAUUCUAGUCUGUUCUUAUUGAGCCUACAAGUCGGACUACCAGCAUAGAAUGAGGGGCUUUAUAGUUUUAUUGACUAGCCAUCUAAUGUUAGUCUUGAUGGAUAAAUUAUACUCUCAGCUUUUGGAGCCGAGGUAUAUUUGACAUACCCUGUCGUAGUUGAUGAAGUUCUUCAAAAGCCAUAAGAGAUAAUAGUAAAAACAUUUUAUAGCUAUAUGCUGCAACAAUUUUUGAAAUCUUGCAAUUUGGAGGUAUUUUCAUUAUUAAUAAUAAUAUAGUAGAACAUGAAAAGAACCUGCAUGUUAGGACCCAAUAUGAUGUAUUUAAGUAGAACAUUCCUAUUACAUAGAUACCGUUCUAAUUACGUAAACACCUUGUAUUGGGUCCUAACACUGCAACGACUAAGUCUCAUGAAGUGCUGGUUUGUCAUUUCAAACGUGUUUUAAUAUACUUGGAGAAGUGUGCCUCUUAGAUUCCAUGUGAAUAAGUAGUGACUGGAUUGUAGUUUGGUCAUAUAUUGAACCUUUUGAGCAUCGCUUUUGUUAUUGCCAAAAAAUAUAUUUCAGUUGUUGUGUUGACAGAUUGCAGAUCAAGGAAGUCUGUUAACCUUCACAAGUUUGUCUACAAAUCCUCAAUCAUGUUCCUUAAUUACGUGCUAAGUCUAAAAGCAAACAUAUGAGAAAGCUACCGACCAUACUGGCAAGGAAGAAUUUCAAGAGAAAGCAGCGUAGACUUCGAAUUUCAGCCGGGGAAAGACCAGUUGGUGGUGGUCUGAAGGAACAUCCUAGUUCAAUGGGAGUCCAAGAUUCAUGUUGGUCAUCAUCUUGGUUUUCCAUAUCCAUGCUGAGUUGGCAAAUCCUACAAUCUCUCUUCACAUCAUCAUCAACAACAACAACCACACUCUCCAGAUCCAAAUCCACACAACAUUCAGACACAGAGGACACUCUUCCUUUCUCAUCUCCCGUAGAGUUUCGGGGAGAAGCAUUUUGAAUGUUGUCGACGUCAACAACGUGAGACUUGUCUUGUUGUCUUCCGGUAAUGAAAUAUCCGAUGAUACCUGAGUUGAGAAUCUUCAUGUCAUGGUUUUGGUUGGUAGGAAGAGAUCAUUUGUAAUACACAUCAAGGUUUGUUGAAAGAAUAAGAAAAAUGUGCAGUUUUUUAUGCAGAUUCAAGCAAAGAGUGAUGUGAAGUGUGUAAUGCAGUUUUAGAGAUCAAGACGUUAAUUCUAGUUAA